rnacentral:lncRNA from 1 species
UCCCCUUAAAUAUGGGAUAUAGACGAGUGUGGCUUUUUCUAAACCUUAGCACGCUUGUAUUCCCUCUAUAAAAGGGUAAAUUGAGUCACGAUUUAGGUCUCCCCGUACCCAAAAAGGGUAAAUUGAGUCACGAUUUAGGUCUCCCCGUACCCAAUAUGCAUGCGUUCCCUAGGCUCAUGCAUUCUAAAUCCACUCUAUCAUUACACUUUCACUUUUCAUUCCAUUUGCACACAUACACCUUUUAUCCCUUCACUUGCACACGAACGCUUUUAUCAUCACUUGCACACAUGCACUUCAUAUUAUCAUUUCACAUAUCGUACCUUGCCCACUC